rnacentral:rRNA from 1 species
CCUACGGGAUGCUGCAGUGGGGAAUAUUGGACAAUGGGCGAAAGCCUGAUCCAGCCAUGCCGCGUGUGUGAAGAAGGCCUUCGGGUUGUAAAGCACUUUCAGUGGGGAAGAAAGCCUUGGGGCUAAUACCCUCGAGGAAGGACAUCACCCACAGAAGAAGCACCGGCUAACUCCGUGCCAGCAGCCGCGGUAAUACGGAGGGUGCGAGCGUUAAUCGGAAUUACUGGGCGUAAAGCGCGCGUAGGCGGUCUGAUAAGCCGGUUGUGAAAGCCCCGGGCUCAACCUGGGAACGGCAUCCGGAGAGGGGAGAGAAAGGUGCUAGGAGGGAGGAGUGAACUACCCGGGGGAGAGGUGAAUUGCGAAGGGAGAGGGAGGAAAGUGGGGGGCGAAGGGGGCGCGAUAGAGGGACAAUGACGGGGAGGCGGGAAUGCGUAGGCAGCCAAAAGGAUUAGAUAGACGGGAAGUC